rnacentral:rRNA from 1 species
GGACCUACACAAGCGGUGGAUCACGUGGCUUAAUUCGACAACAAGCGAGGAACCUUACCAAGGCUUGACAAGGUAGUGAAAGCUAUAAGAAAUUAUAGCCUACCCACAAGGACACUACCCCAGGUGCUGCAUGGUUGUCGUCAGCAGGUGGCUUGAGUUGCUCCCUUAAAUGGGGUAACCUGCGCAACCCUUGCUCUAUGUUUUAUAUGUCAUAGGGGACUGCCCGGGACAACCGGGAGGAAGGUGGGGAUGACGCCAAAUCAGCAUGGCCUUUUGAUGCCUUGGGCUGCACACGUGAUACAAUGGAACUGACAAAGGGUUGCCAAGCCGUAAGGCGGAGCUAAUCCCAUCAAACAGUUCCUCAAUUCGGAUUGGGGUCUGAAACCCGACCUCAUGAAGCCGGAAUCGCUAGUAACCGUGAAUCAGCCAUGUCACGGUGAAUAUGUCCCUAGGUCUU